rnacentral:lncRNA from 1 species
AACCAAACAAAAUAUACAACAUAGUGAACGGAAAAAAGUAAAUUGAACAAUGCAAUAGAUGAAUAUCCAAACAAACUUUAAAACUAUUAAAAUGCAACGCUUGAGUGAAAAUGAGAUGCACCAUCACGAGAAUCAAUAAAGCAAACACGUGUAAACAUAACCUUAGAAUAAAAUUUCAAUCAUAGUGCGUGAACAAAUUUAAAAUCAGCUCCUCUUCAUUCCAAGAAAAUAAAAAUAACCGCAUGUGCACAUAAAUUAAAUCAACGCUACUGUUUCUCUCAGCCCAAAAUCAACAUCCGUCUCUCUCAAUGGAAAUCACCAUAUGUGCUUCUAAAAAGAUAAUGANAAAGAAAUNAAAAACAGCNNGCGCAGAGCUUCAAUAAUUAAAAGCAAAAUUUCCUUCGUGAAUCACUGUUUCAUUGCUUUCUAAAAUAAAAAUGGAUGUGCUAAAUAAAGUUGUUGUAACCGUGAGGACACUUCCUCCUUCAAGCAACGUCCGCCUCCAUUCUUCUUCUUCCUUCAUGUGUCGCUCUGCAGAACAACCCCCCUCUCCAAAUAGUUGAUGGCUCCUCCAAUAUAUUGUAUAUUCCUCUCCUAGGUUUUCAUGUCCCUCCAACUCUGGACCCACUUUACUCAGAAUCCAUCUCUCCAAAUCACGUCUUGGAGCCUCUUCUCCACAGCCCAAAGACUCGUGCCCUUCAUUCACGUGUUAAACCGUGCAAAGGUUGGAUCAGUCAUGUGCUAAUUAAUUAACACUUCCAGCUACAUCAUGAAGCUCGUGAGGUGCUUGCUGGCUGCACCCCUAGUUCCUUGCUGCCUGGACCGUGAACUGCUCAUGGACGUGAUUCUGCUAUGAAUUAUGGGCUGCAGUUGGGCUGAGAGCACCUCCUGGAAGUUGAUGGAAUGAAGCUGCUGGGCUUUUCUUUAUAUUCUAGGUUGCAGCCCCCAUUACAACAACGUGUGUCCUCCUAAAAUCAAUCAGCCCUUGCUCGAUGUUGCCAAGGUGCUUGGGUGAAUGAAGUUGGGCCGUGUAAGACGUUGAAGCUGCUGGUUAUGAACCUGUGAUGCACCUCCAAAAUAACCAAGCUCUGUGCGUGACAUUGCUGCUGGCCCGUGAGGUGCUUGUUGCUACAGUGAAGAUGUGGACCGCUGGUUUCUAACUGCUGCGUGGGCUUCUCCAAAGCUACACACAUUUCUUCAAGCAUACACGUGGGCUGAUGAUGGAUGAACGACAAACACGUUGCUGCUUCUACUAUUUGAUUGUGUGAUGGGCUGUUUCUUAUGCUGCCAGGUGCUUUUGGACGUGGUGUUAUCUGGACCGUGCAGCCCAAGUUGGACGAAUGAAGAGUUGGUGCUGUUUGCUCCCAUUUAUUCCAACCGAUGCCUAUAUUUCUCAGCCCAAUGAAUCAAUAGUUGGACCCAUUUGCUUCUACUUUUACGUGAUAGCAUCAACCCGUGUGCUCCAUCCACC